AUUUUUGCGCAGUGGCAGUAUCGUAGCCAAUGAGGUUUAUCUGAGGCGUGAUUAUUGCUAAUUAUUGCUAAUUGAUUAUGUGAUCCACUUUUGCGACCUUCUGACAAGCAAAAUCAGUGGGGAAGCCAAAUUCACUUAACAACUAUGUU
rnacentral:snRNA from 1 species